rnacentral:lncRNA from 1 species
AGGGUUCCCAGGCGAGCCUACCAUCGUCUACAACGUCCUGGCCACCGACUACACUACCUACAGCUCCGUCUACAGCUGUGGGGAGGGAGAAGACUACCGCGAGCAGUUCGCGUGGGUGCUGUCCCGCACUGAGGAGCUCGACCCCGACGCACUCGCUGCGGCGCUGGACGCCUUCGACUCUAACAACAUCGACACGUCCGUCCUGCAGGUCACGCCGCAAGGCGGCAACUGCGUCUACACGAAUCCUCCUCCGCCUCCUCCCAAGGUUUAAAGGCUGAAAAACCGGUGUGACCUUCGAAUUUGAGGAUUUUAAAUUAUUACGCUGUGUUUGGAAAGGAAAUGGAAAGAUAUAAUCAUAGUACAUGAAAGUGUCUGGGAUAAGU